CUACGGGACGCUGCAGUGAGGAAUAUUGCACAAUGGGGGAAACCCUGAUGCAGCAACGCCGCGUGGAGGAUGACGCAUUUCGGUGUGUAAACUCCUUUUAUGAGUCAAGAAAAUGACGGUAGCUCAUGAAUAAGCACCGGCUAGCUCCGUGCCAGCAGCCGCGGUAAUACGGAGGGUGCAAGCGUUUCUCGGAAUCACUGGGCGUAAAGGACGCGUAGGCGGGAUGUCAAGUCAGGUGUGAAAUCCUAUGGCUCAACCAUAGAACUGCACUUGAAACUGGCAACCUAGAGUAUGGGAGGGGGAGAUGGAAUUAGUGGUGUAGGGGUAAAAUCCGUAGAUAUCACUAGGAAUACCGAAAGCGAAGGCGAUCUCCUGGAACAUUACUGACGCUAAGGCGUGAAAGCGUGGGGAGCAAACAGGAUUAGAUACCCCAGUAGUC
rnacentral:rRNA from 1 species